rnacentral:rRNA from 1 species
GCCCGCGGUAUCCUAACCGUGCAAAGGUAGCAUAAUCACUUGUCCUCUAAAUAAGGACUGGUAUGAACGGUCCCAUGAGGAUUACAUUGUCUCUCAUAAUAAGUCUGCGAACCUGAUCUUCCAGUACAAAAGCUGGACUAUGCACACAAGACGAGAAGACCCUGUGGAGCUUAAUUGUUUUCAGUUGGGGCGACUUCGGAGACAAAUAUAACCUCCGCAAAGACCCAAUAAAAUUGAUCAAUGAACCAAGUUACCCCAGGGAUAACAGCGCAAUCUCCUUCUAGAGUCCCUAUCGUCAAGGAGGUUUACGACCUCGAUGUUGGAUCCGGAUAUCCCAAUAGUGCAGCCGCUAUUAAUGGUUCGUUUGUUCAACGAUUAAUUAUCCUACGUGAUCU